GCCUUCGUGGUGUAGUGGUUAGCAAGCUCGACGCGAGACCGAGAGGUCCGUGGUUCGAUUCCCGGCGAAGGCG
rnacentral:tRNA from 1 species